ACCUGUGAUCCUGGCUAUAGUCUCAUUGGAGAGGCACAGCUUAAUUGUACAUCUUCUGGAGCUUGGAGUGCCGCUGCCCCUUGGUGUGAAGGGCUGCUGUGUCCCUCCCCGUUGGCUAUCGACAAUGGCCAGCACGAUGGCAAGGAUGAGAAAGUCUUCAACCCUGGAAAGUCUGUGAAUUACAGCUGUGAGCCUGGUUAUUCUCUUAUUGGCAAAGCCACUCUGUAUUGCACAGAGAAGGGAACCUGGAGCAUCCCUUACCCUCGAUGUGAAGUGAUUGCCUGCACAUCCCCAGCAAUCCGGAACGGAGCGGUGGCUGGUGGGCACAGAGCCACGUACAAUCCUGGGGACACCGUCACCUUCCAGUGCCGCCCCGGUUACA